GUGGCCGUAGCUCAAUUGGUAGAGUCCCAGAUUGUGGAUCUGGUUGUUACGGGUUCGAGCCCCGUCGGUCACCCUA
rnacentral:tRNA from 2 species